rnacentral:misc_RNA from 1 species
GUUUCUUCUUCAGCUAAUGGAUCGAACUGUGGUUCACUACCACAAGGAGAGGAUGAAGCUGAGGGAGUGAAAAGUAAUCCUGGACAACAUGAAGAUGAACAUCUCCUACAUUCAAAGAAAAAAUCUGUAGAUUUGGAUGAGAAGCAAGUGGUGAAAUCAUUAUCUGAUUUGAAGGGAAGUCCAUCUCCCUCUUCAACUGAUUUGUCUUCUGACUUGGCAUGGCUCUCAAGGAAAAUAGGUGGUAGUGGUAGCAAUAAAUUCUCAACCUCAAGUGAGAAUGAAAUAACUGAAAACUCUCAGAAUCCGCGGGUGAUGACCAAACAUGUUGAACCAGAAAG